GCAGGUUACAGAACGCGGGGCAGGCGGGGCGGCCAGGCAGCAAGGUGGCGCAGGGAAGCAGAGGCGGCUGCAAGCACAUCCUCAGCCAGAGCCAGAAAGGGACACAUGGCCUCAAAUAGAUUGUAUUUGGGUUUCUAGCCACCACAGCCCUGGAAGGAACUAAUGUUGAGUCUCCAGAGGUGCAUGGUGAAAUUCACUGAACAUUGAAUUAAACAAACAUAACUAUAUUUGGGGAGGUAUACCUCUAAUGCUACAAAACUUGCAACAAAAAAGAAGCCCUACUCCUAACUAUGAUCAAGAAGAGUAGGGGGAGUCAACAGGAGAGAGUCUCCCGUCGACAUCGCAUAGUAUGGACCCCGUGAGGAAAAGAAAAGCCCAGUGGAGUAAAAGUAGCUUGCUAGCUGGGACCCUAAAAAUUGCUCAGUAAGAAUUCUCAGUUCCUCUCAUCGCUAAGCUUGAAAUUUAAAAAUGUCAGUAUUUUAAUUUCUGAUUAUGAUGCUGCCUUUGUAAUGACCACACGCUGUUUCGAA